AGGAGGAACAACCGCAGUGGCGGGCCCAGCUCUGGAGCCCUGGAGUCAGCUCCCGCAGGAACUCCGGAGCUCUCCGUCUGCAGGGCCUGGGGGCUCCGGGGCGGG
rnacentral:pre_miRNA from 1 species